CCUACGGGCGGCAGCAGUGAGGAAUAUUGGUCAAUGGGCGGAAGCCUGAACCAGCCAAGUAGCGUGCGGGAUGAAGGCCCUACGGGUCGUAAACCGCUUUUGCACGGGGAUAACACCCUCCACUUGUGCAUGUCUGCAGGUACCUUGCGAAUAGGGGCCGGCUAAUUCCGUGCCAGCAGCCGCGGUAAUACGGAAGGCCCGAGCGUUAUCCGGAUUCAUUGGGCUUAAAGGGAGCGUAGGCGGGCGUUCAAGUCAGCUGUAAAAUCGUGGGGCUCAACCGUGACCCGCAGUUGAGACUGGAAGCCUUGAGUUCACAACAGGCAGGCGGAAUUCGUGGUGUAGCGGUGAAAUGCAUAGAUAUCACGAGGAACCCCGAUUGCGAAGGCAGCCUGCCGGGGUGCGACUGACGCUGAGGCUCGAAGGUGCGGGUAUCAAACAGGAUUAGAUACCCUUGUAGUC
rnacentral:rRNA from 1 species